rnacentral:rRNA from 1 species
GUUAAAAAGAGUUUGAUCCUAGCUCAGGAUGAACGCUAGCGGUGCGCCUAACACAUGCAAGUCGAGCGGUAGAAUUUUUAGC